rnacentral:sRNA from 12 species
GUCGGACAUGCGCCGGAGCAAUCCGUGGUCGUCCUGGUGACGGCAGGCUGGGAACAGCUGGGAUCCUCGGACCGGGGGUCCGACCUGCA